rnacentral:rRNA from 1 species
UACGUAGGUGGCGAGCGUUGUCCGGAAUUACUGGGUGUAAAGCGCGUGUAGGCGGGAGGCCAAGUCUGUGGUGAAAUCGCUCGGCUUAACUGGGCGGGGUCCAUGGAAACUGGUCACCUGGAGGUCGUAGAGGCAAGUGGAAUUCCCGGUGUAGUGGUGAAAUGCGUAGAGAUCGGGAGGAACACCAGUGGCGAAGGCGGCUUGCUGGGCCGGACCUGACGCUGAGACGCGAAGGCGUGGGGAGCGAACGGG